rnacentral:rRNA from 1 species
CCCUUAGAUGUUCUGGGCCGCACGCGCGCUACACUGAUGCAUUCAACGAGCCUAUCCUUGACCGACAGGUCCGGGUAAUCUUUGAAUCUGCAUCGUGACGGGGAUAGAUUAUUGCAAUUAUUAAUCUUCAACGAGGAAUGCCUAGUAGGCGCAAGUCAUCAGCUUGCGUCGAUUACGUCCCUGCCCUUUGUACACACCGCCCGUCGCUCCUACCGAUUGGGUGUGCUGGUGAAAUGUUCGGCCAUAGCAAUGUUUCUUGAGCAGGGCAAUGAAUGUUUCGCAAACCUUGCCACUUAGAGGAAGGAGAAGUCGUAACA